GCCCACCACGCCGGCAUCCAUGAAUUUCUUCGAACAAAUACAGGUGUGGAUGGCCAGAAGAACGCAAAUGCUAUGGAUCCCGAUGAUUUCCAGAGGUACUGCAUAGAAGGCGCCAUGGCGAUCCUGGGCUCCAUGUUGCUUGGGAUGGUAUUCUUUUGUGCCAUCUGUAUGUGGAGGAGGAGAAGACGGCGCCUCGCUGCAGCUUCAUGAGCCUGGCCCAACA